rnacentral:misc_RNA from 1 species
AGUUUUUUUUUUUUUUUUUCAUUGUCAUGGGAUUUUAUUCACCUGAUAAGAUUUUAUUGUAAACAACUCACAUUUAAUUAUAAUUCACUUUCCAUCGUAAUAAAAUCUUAUCAUGGCGAUUAAAUCUAUAAAAUGCUAGCAGUCAAAACAGUUUAACCACUCUGCAACCGUUGUCCUAAGGACAUUCAUUAGAGAUAUCCUUUUAGUUUACAUGUUGUUUUCCUACGAUAUUAAACGCCAGAUCUAAACAUAUGAGCAGAUUAUUUGAAAAUCCUACAAUAUUUGUUAUUCUUAUUGGUAUGAUAAUGGAAAAAAAUGAAAAUGCUGGAAUGAGGAUAAAGUAUAUGGAAAAAGAGAUGAAACUUGCACGUUGAGUCCACAUGUGACCAAACAAUGUUUUAUCGGAGUUACCUUGAUUUUUCUGAGGACCAAUUAAAGCUGUAUGUUUCAUACUUUGUAACUAUGUUAGCUUCUCUACUUUGGUUUCCCUUCUCUCAUUUUUGCUGAUGGGUAUAAAUUCUGUAUUUUGUUUGAGUCUCUUAAGUUCAACUUUUGUUUAUUUUGGCAUGAUUAACUUGCAGAGCCUGAUGUUCUUAAAGAAGUGAAGCAGAAGCUUGAACUUGGAUCUGUGAAGUUUGAGGCAUUAUGUGACAAGGACCGUUCUCCCAAAAAGGUUGCCUCUCUCUCUCUCUACAUUUGCAAUUUUAUAUGUUUAAUUUUUGGAAUAUUAAUAAAACGAAAUAGCUUAUUGUUAUCAUUAAUAUAC